rnacentral:lncRNA from 1 species
UGCUUACUUCCUGGAAUUACUUGCAUACAUAUACAGUAUAGUAAUUCCAGGGAGUAAGCAUUCUCUGGAAAGUACAUUAUUCUGUGUUUAACAGGAAUAAUAUAUAUAUUAUUCUUGUUAACACAGAGAAUGAUGCGCUUUCCAGAGAAUGCUUACUCCCUGGAAUUAUUUGAUAAGUAUUCACAUUCAAAAUGUGAGGAGAAAAUACUACUGCCCAAAAUAAUCAACUCUUUAUUUUCUGUCAGUCCAAAACAAUUACUCCCUUCAGGGGGUACACUUUGGUUUGAGAAUGAAGGCCAAUGAAAAUGCCUGAUGACUUAAUUUCAGGUGAGUUUGAAAUUAAAAAAAGAACUACGGGCAAAAUGCAUGCAUUCCAAUGGCUUUUAGCUAUUAAGGCACUACAUUUGUACACUCCGUCUUCUGUGAGGAGAAGAUGAGGGGACCUUUUAUUUCCCUCUUUCCUCGGUUUUCAGUCCUCACAACCGUCCUCGGAGGCAGGCCCAAAGACACUCGUCCAGUUUCACGACCAGUCUUGGGAGGCGGCGCGAAACGAAGCCACCAUUUGAGGGUCGUGACUGAGGGAGGAUUUGAACCCGAGACCCGGCCAAGGCCAGGGGCGGAGGCGACAGGUUUAGCCCAGCUGAGAGGGUUAGAAGGCCGUCUGCCUGCCUCUCUGGCUCCUCAGCGGAGAGUCCCCCGUCUCGGCGGAAAGGGGAAGCGGGCGCUCGACGCCACCGGGCAGGCAAAGCAAAGAAGCGAGCGCUCAGGAACGGGCGCCCCUUCCGGCACCGCCCGCCUGCCCCGUCGGUUGCGGCGCCGGCGGCAGCAGCAGCAGCAGCAGCUCGGUCUUCCCCUCAGAGGCGACCAUGGUGGAGCUGAACCGAGCCUUCCCGCGCACCCUGAGGGGAGCCUUAAAGAUAGCGCGCAUGGAUGCUUUCAACUCUCUGGUAUCAGCGCUAUUUCUCCUCAUUGCAGGCCUGUGCGCAGCGAUAAAGAAGAUAAUAAUUGAACAUAUAGUUGGGGGAGUGUUUUUCCUGAUCCUCUGUGUUCUUUGUAUAGUAGAUGCUGCCUUUCUGUUGAAGAACAUUACUUUCAAUAGGCCAGUACCAGGACGGGACAUUAUCCACAGAUAGAAGGACCAGCAAGCUAAAUCUAACAUAGAAUUCAUUUGGAAUGUUUCUUGGGCAAUAAGCUGUUUAUGUCAUAUUUUCUUUGAAUUUUCAAAAAAUGUACAAGCAUGAUUCAACCAUUCAAGAACUUUUAAAUACUGCUGAUGUCAUUUAAGCAUGUGCCGAAAAUCAGUGUGAUUUCAGCCAAUUUCAGUCUUCUUAUAUAGUUUUUUAUUGUAUAGUUCUUUUUAAAAUUUGUUCACUUUUUACUUGUAUAAGCAACGUUUAAAUAAACUACUCCUAUGAAUUAACA